rnacentral:rRNA from 1 species
CCUACGGGUGGCUGCAGUGAGGAAUCUUGGUCAAUGGACGCAAGUCUGACCCAGCCAUGCCGCGUGCAGGAUGACGGCUCUAUGAGUUGUAAACUGCUUUUGUACGAGGGUAAACCCCGAUACGUGUAUCGGGUUGAAAUUAUCGUACGAAUAAGGAUCGGCUAACCCCGUCCCAGCAGCCGCGGUACUACGGUGGAUCCGAGCGUUGUCCGGUUUUAUUGGGUUUAAAGGGUGCGUAGGCGGUUUGAUAAGUUAGAGGUGAAAGGUCGGGGCUCAACCCCGAAACUGCCUGUGAUACUGUGGGACUAGAGAAUAGUAGCGGUGGGCGGAAUGUAUGGUGUAGCGGUGAAAUGCUUAGAGAUCAGACAGAACACCGAUUGCGAAGGCAGCUCACCAAUCUAUAACUGACGUUGAGGCACGAAAGCGUGGGUAGCAAACAGGAUUAGAUACCCUAGUAGUC